GCAAGUCGAACGCGAAAGCACUUCGGUGCAAGUAGAGUGGCGAAAGGGCGAGUAAUGCAUACCUAACGUACCUUCAGGUAAGGGAUAGCUCGGAGAAAUCCGUGGUAAUACCUUAUGACCCCGAUAGACCGCAUGGUUUGUCGGGCAAAGGCUUGCUGCCUGAAGAUCGGGGUAUGUCCUAUCAGCUUGUUGGUAAGGUAACGGCUUACCAAGGCUAAGACGGGUAGCGGGUGUGAGAGCAUGACC
rnacentral:rRNA from 1 species